rnacentral:rRNA from 1 species
CGUACACUCCUACGGGAGGCAGCAGUGGGGAAUAUUGGACAAUGCGCGCAAGCCUGAUCCAGCCAUGCCGCGUGAGUGAUGAAGGCCCUAGGGUUGUAAAGCUCUUUCACCGGUGAAGAUAAUGACGGUAACCGGAGAAGAAGCCCCGGCUAACUUCGUGCCAGCAGCCGCGGUAAUACGAAGGGGGCUAGCGUUGUUCGGAUUUACUGGGCGUAAAGCGCACGUAGGCGGACUAUUAAGUCAGGGGUGAAAUCCCGGGGCUCAACCCCGGAACUGCCUUUGAUACUGGUAGUCUUGAGUUCGAGAGAGGUGAGUGGAAUUCCGAGUGUAGAGGUGAAAUUCGUAGAUAUUCAGAGGAACACCAGUGGCGAAGGCGGCUCACUGGCUCGAUACUGACGCUGAGGUGCGAAAGCGUGGGGAGCAAACAGGAUUAGAUACCCCUGUAGUCCCA